GACGAACGCUGGCGGCGUGCUUAACACAUGCAAGUCGAACGGAAAGUCCCUGCUGUUGUGUGGCACUCGUGUGGCGAACGUGUGUGUCACAUGUGAGUCUUCCCUCCUUGACUGUGGUAUAACUUCAGGACACUUGGGCUAAUCCCGUAUUGUCGUUCCUCUUGCUUGGUUUGUGUUGGAAAGUUUCGGCGGUUGGGGAUAGACUCGCGUGUUAUCAGAUUGUUGGGGGGGUAGUAGCGUACCAAGGCUUUGACUGGUAGCCGGCCUGAGAGGGGGACCGGGGACAUAGGGAGUGAGAGACAGCCCAGACACCUACGGGAGGCAGAGGUGGGGAAAAUUGUAGAAUGGGCGGAAGACUGAGGCAGAAACACCGCGUGCGGGAUAAGGACGUUCGGGGAGUAAAAAGCUUUCGCAGGUGACGAAGAGUGAGUGACGGUAAUGGGUAAAGAAGCAACGGCUAAAUACGUG
rnacentral:rRNA from 1 species